CAGCUUGUUGGCGGGGUAACGGCCCACCAAGGCAACGACGGGUAGCUGGUUUGAGAGAACGAUCAGCCACACUGGGACUGAGACACGGCCCAGACUCCUACGGGAGGCAGCAGUGGGGAAUCUUGCGCAAUGGGCGAAAGCCUGACGCAGCAACGCCGCGUGCGGGAUGACGGCCUUCGUGGUUGUAAACCGCUUUCAGCAGGGACGAAAAUGACGGUACCUGCAGAAGAAGCCCCGGCUAACUACGUGCCAGCAGCCGCGGUAAUACGUAGGGGGCAAGCGUUGUCCGGAAUCAUUGGGCGUAAAGAAUUCGUAGGCGGUUCAGUAAGUCGGGUGUGAAAGCUCCGAGCUCAACUCGGAGAGGCCACUCGAUACUGCUGUGACUAGAAUCCAGUAGGGGAGUGUGGAACUCCUGGUGUAGCGGUGAAAUGCGCAGAUAUCAGGAAGAACACCAGCGGCGAAGGCGGCACUCUGGGCUGGUAUUGACGCUGAGGAGCGAAAGUGUGGGUAGCAAACAGGAUUAGAUACCCUGGUAGUCCACACCGUAAACGUUGGGCACUAGGUGUGGGGAGGAUCAACCCUUUCCGUGCCGUAGCUAACGCAUUAAGUGCCCCGCCUGGGGAGUACGGUCUCUAGAGGA
rnacentral:rRNA from 1 species